AAGAAAAAGAGUGGCGAACGGGUGAGUAACACGUGGGUAACCUGCCCAUCAGAAGGGGAUAACACUUGGAAACAGGUGCUAAUACCGUAUAACACUAUUUUCCGCAUGGAACAGAGUUGAAAGGCGCUUUUGCGUCCCUGAUGGAUGGACCCGCGGGGCAUUAACUAGUUGGUGAGGUAACGGCUCACCAAGGCAACGAUGCAUAUCCGACCUGAGAGGGUGAUCGGCCACACUGGGACUGAGACACGGCCCAGACUCCUACGGGAGGCAGCAGUAUGGAAUCUUCGGCAAUGGACGAAAGUCUGACCGAGCAACGCCGCGUGAGUGAAGAAGGUUUUCGGAUCUUAAAACUCUGUUGUUAGAGAAGAACAAGGAUGACAGUAAAAUGUUCAUCCCUUGACGGUAUCUAACCAUAAAGCCACGGCUAACUACGUGCCAGCAGCCGCGGUAAUACGUACGUGGCAAGCGUUGUCCGGAUUUAUUGGGCGUAAAUCGAGCGCAGGAUGUUUCUUA
rnacentral:rRNA from 1 species